rnacentral:tRNA from 1 species
GCCUUCCUAGCUCAGUUGGUAGAGCGUUAGACUUUUAAUCUAACGGUCAGGGGUUCGAGCCCCCUGGAAGGCU